rnacentral:rRNA from 1 species
AUUGAACGCUGGCGGCAGGCUUAACACAUGCAAGUCGAACGAGCGGCGCACGGGUGAGUAAUGUGUGGGAAUAUGGCUUAUGGAGGGGGAUAACCACGGGAAAGUGUCGCAAAUACCGCUUAACAUAGGAUGAGCCCAAGGGGGAUUAGGUAGUCGGUGGGGUAAUGGCCUACCAAGCUGACGAUCUCUCGCUGGUCUGAGAGGAUGACCAGCCACACCGUGACUGAGAGACGGCCCAGACUCCUACGGGAGGCAGCAGUGGGGAAUAGUGCGCAAUGGGGGCAAGCCUGACGCAGCCAUGCCGCGUGGAUGAAGAAGGCCUUCGGGUUGUAAAGUUCUUUCAGCGAGGAGGCGUUACCCGCAGAAGAAGCACCGGCUAACUCCGUGCCAGCAGCCGCGGUAAUUC